rnacentral:lncRNA from 1 species
CUUACGUACUAUAGCAAACUUGGUAAGGCCGCUACUUGCCCCUCCAAAUGAAAUAACCCUGUUUGGAGUAGUGGUUAGUGCGUCAGACUGGAACAUAAGAUCACAGGUUCAAAACACAGCCUGCCCAAUGCUAUAGUAUAUUUACAUGUGAUAUAUAAAUAUAUUUAUGUGGCCAAUUUCAAACAUUGACACAUAUUUACCAAAUGUAAUCAGGAAUAUAUUUUCUAAAUGUGUAUGGAAAUAUAGUUUCCAAAUGUUUUCAAAAUAUAUUUAAAAUAGAUGUUUGUUUUUUCAUGUUUAUGCCUACUACUGUCCAUUUCCUCCCACCAUGACAAUCCUGGAAUUCAAAUGUAAACAUUUUCGAAGCAGGUCUAGAUGCCAUGAAUUGACAAUGUGCAAGGAAAAUGUGUAAGGAAUUAUAUCUAGAUGUUUGAGUUGAAAAGGCCCUCCCUCCCCCACUGCUCACAAAAAUUAUUCACUCACAGACACCAUAGUGGGAAAUAUAAAGAAAUGUGUCCUCUAUCCUUUUCUAUGGCUACACUUGAGGAAGGGUCACUCCCCCUAUCCUGUCCAUGGGGGCAGGAAGUUCAAAGUCUUCAGUGGUACAGUGUAGAGCUUCUGUGAACUUAGGUUGGCAAAAUGGGUUAUGUGGAAGCACUGCUCCAACAGAAUCCAAUUGAGGUUACCUUUCUGGGGGCUAUGCUGUUUUUGCUGGUCCUCUACCUUUUCUAUUCUGGUUCCUGGUUUGAAGUGAGGAGGGCAGAGCCUCCAGGACCCAGGCCGCUGCCCCUACUUGGUAAUAUUCACCAGAUGGAUCUCAAGAAGCCCCACCACACUCUCUGUGAGUUAACGGGGUGACAGAGAACACCGGUCCGUGUGUGGAGUGGCCAAUCGUUAUUCUGCCCUAAACAGGUAAACAAAUCUUUUUUUUUUUACUUAUUAACCUGUAUAUCUGCAGAGCGGAUGUCAGGGGCGUUACUUAAUAAUGGGGUUCCUGGAUAUGACGUUACCCCCAUUGAAUUAAGUUACGCCCACUGAUGUUCGUCAUUGGUCAGUUUGGGGACAUCCUAGUUUGAAACACGGUUCAACGCUAGGUGUCAUGUAUGGGCAUGACGUCAUUACGCUGAGUGCACUAAUGGAAGAUUAAGAGUAAACUAAAAGCAGUUACAGUAUAGUUGAUCUGAGCUCUACAUGGCACAAAGUGAAACAGCCUGAAACAUCCUUUGCGCAAGUUAAUACAGGAUUAAUAUUUAUGCAUUUUCCAUAGAUUCAACAUAUUACACAAAUGCGAACAUGCUGUGUAAGGUACAUUGUGUGGUGGACGUGUGAACAACUAAACUGUUCUGAAGGUCCCUUGAAGAGAAAUGUGGGUUUUGCUUUGUAGAUCUGACCAGUUUUUGUGCAAAUCGUUGUGAUAUUUUCUUUGACUUGCACAGUUCAAUUUAACAGCAAUGUUCUAUGAAGUUGAUAUUGGUAACUGGAAGUGUUGAAUUUUCUAUAGGCGUUUGCAGAAUUGCGGCAAGUUUCACUUUGCACCAUGUAGAGGUCAGGUCAACAUCUGUUUACAGAAAUAUAAAUGUAUCUGGGGUUGCCUGGAACAAGUUUAGAGUAAUAACGUGGUUAUGGAUUUAAACAUUUGUUGGGAGGAAUAUAAAAGUGUUGCAUGUCUUGGGAUUGAUUAUCUGAGGUCUAAUUUAACCCUUAUCCUAAAAGUUGAUUCAGUAGCAUAAAUUACUAGUAGAACAGCUCCUAAAUUAAAAGCUUAAAGUGAAUGGCAUAACCUACAAUAAAUACACAGUUUAAAUUAUUUGCCAGUUAAACAAUUAAACAUUUCAUCACAAUUUUCAAAACAUAAUAUUCGAACACUGACAAAACAAAAUUGUUUCUUUAUGUACUGUGUAUUCAACUUUGCCCAGAUUCUUUAGACUUUGGUUUCAUCCUAUCGUGCUGUAUGGCCAGGGUAACACUAGUAUUUUCGUACCAAAGUAUUUUCGUAAAGUGCAGGCACGUGUAUAGGUAAGGUGUGCACGCUAGGAGAGGCUCAGCGACAGCUCGCCUGAGAUGGAGCGAUUUGUGGGGACAUACUGUAGCCAGCAGGGUCGUAGCCAGCAGGGCCGUAGCCAGCAGGGCCGUAGCCAGCAGGGCCGUAGCCAGCUAUGAGGUCACCGAGGUCCGGACCUCAGUAAUUAUAAAACAAAUGUAUAGGCCUAUCUAUAGAUAUUUUUCUAAUAAAAACCAGGCAGUGCAAUAAACAUAAUCUGGAGUUGAAAACAUCUGGUUUAUUCUGGCAGCGGUGUUUCCGCGGAGCUGCAUCUUAAAUUACACUCUAAUUGGUACGCGCUGCUUAUCUGUGUUGAUUGGAUAGCAGCACUGCCGGCCAGGAUCAAGCAAUCCAGCCACACUCCAAUGUUGACCUGACCUGGCAUGAAUCAAGGUAUGUGACUAGGAUAGCUAACGACCAAGAAACCCAGAAUCUGGGACGUAGCUAGGCAUAUUUUAGUAUACAAUAUUAAUUGAAUACUCCGUUCUGUAAACAGUACCUAACCCCUCCAUACUAUCGGUUUCUAGUGGUCGGAGAACUAAAUCCUCUCAAGUUCAAAAUGUAAAUGCACUGGAAAACAAUGGUACGUUUAGGUAAUAAAUAUACUCUUUCAGCUAGCCAUGUUUUUGAGAUUUUAAAAGUGUAAUGUAUUGAAUAUAUACUUUCAGCUAGCCAUGUUUUUGAGAUUUUAAAAAUGUAAUGUAUGGAAAUUGUUUCAGACAAGUUGCAAUUCGUGAAAUUCGACAUACUGGCGCGAUAUCACUGAAAUAUACAUGUAUAAGGUAAUAUAGUUAACAAUGUAUUCUGUACAGUUUAUGUUUAAUGUCCGUUCCAAUGUUAUUCUUGUCUGUUAUUUUUCACACACUCGAUUUUUAACUAUAUUCAAUGAUGGCUUAUAUUGUGAUAAAGAAAAUCUGAGUGCUGCCAGCAUAAUAUCCUGCUGCUAAAAUAACGCUAAUGAAGCCUUGAAUGGCCAUCACUAAUUGUAACAGUUAGAGUUAAGGAUUCAAGCAAGGCCAGCUGGCUUGAGGCUAUAAUGGCUUACUAGCUUGUUAACAUGUGCAGGACUCCAUUCAUUCAAACUGCAAAGCAGGCUAGAUUUAUUUGUAAAUUAAAAAAAAAAAAAAAAGAAAAAUGUGACCAUGCUGAGGACAGAGAGAACAGACCCAUAUGCAAAAUAAAUAUGUAUUUAUGUAUGUAGAAUAUAUGUUGAAUACAUUUAACUUAAUUCAAAUUACAUUUCAGGUAUCAAAAUAUUUCAGCUUUUAUUCCGAAAUGUACACUCACCUAAAGGAUUAUUAGGAACACCUGUUCAAUUUCUCAUUAAUGCAAUUAUCUGAAAUGUAAUUUGACCCCACCGGGUACCACUCAUCUCCACUACAAAUAGGAAAAAGAGGCUACAAUUUGAACAAGCUCACCAAAAUUGGACAGUUGAAGACUGGAAGAAUGUUGCAUUGUCUGCUGAGUCUCGAUUUCUGAGACAUUCAGAUGGUAGAGUCAGAAUUU